UGAUGAGACAAGGAUGCGAAAGUGUUUCCAACUUGUCAUGACAUCAAAGCCUCUGUUGUACAUGUGUCAAGGAUGAGAUUCACAUGAUAAUUUGUUUUGUUUGGGCCUUAUGCUGUACUGUAUACAACUGAAUUACUUUUUGUGUUUUAUGAUUUAGUCAGUAGCCAAUCAAUGUCAGUGAUAAUAUGUAUCUUGUGAUUCUUUCUUCGUGUGCCGGUCAUGGUUCCCUGAUGCGGUUUAGAUUUGUGAUUCCCUGACGAGGUUCCCUCACACACGCAGGUGCACGACAGAGCCGGCUGCGUGUGGUGCGUGCGGGGGGAUUCUUCUUCCACUCUGGCAAUCUGAGAGCAGCCAAGCAAGGUUAUUGAGAUAUGUAUCUUGCGAUUCUUUGUGUGCCGGUUACAUCUGCGGGUACGGCUGCACGAGUUCAUGUCUGUCAUUCACACAUGCAAAUUGUGAUGCCUGCUGCUUGCGACAGUUUCGCCCCUGUUCUUCUUCUACUCCGGCAAGAUGGUCCACGACAGAGCCGGCUACAUGUUGUGUGUGUGUGCGCGCGGGGGGGGGGGGGGGGGGUCUCUUCCC